GUGCUCACUUCAGCAGCAUAUAUACUAAAAUUGGAACGAUACAGAGAAGAUUACCAUGGCCCCUGCGCAAGGAUGACACGCAAAUUCAUGAAGCAUUCCAUAUUUUU
rnacentral:snRNA from 1 species